GUCUACGGCCAUACCUCCCUGAACGCACCUGAUCUCGUUUGAUCUCGGAAGCUAAGCAGGGUCGGGCCUGGUUAGUACUUGGAUGGGAGACCGCCUGGGAAUACUGGGUGCUGUAGGCU
rnacentral:rRNA from 1 species